UGUGUAAAUUUUCUGCGCAGGAAACAUAAGUAAAGCCAUUUGGUUUGUGGCAUGGGUGUGGGCGGGCUCAGGGGGCGGGGAUAAAGUUGAGGCAGUGAUAUAGUAUGAGGAGAGCCAGAUGGCUGCAUUACACAUCUUUUGUGUUCUUGUUUGCUUCUUAAAGCAGUUGCAGAAUUUCGCCCUUGGCAAUAUUUUCUUCCUCAUGCCUGUGUGCUCUGCUUCGAAUUUACUUUUGUCAGGGAGCUUUGAAGGAAAAGCCUUGCUGGGGGGAUAAUUUUUUUUUUCUAAACUUAUGAACUUGUGAAGUCAACAGUGUGCUCAUAACAGUAUUUUUUUUUUAACGUUAAGUGUGUUGGUAAAUAGUGGCAGGAUCAGUUUUUCUUUUUUUCUUAACAUGGUGACUUCAACCAUCUUUUAUGGGAGAGAGGUCUGCCGUGUGUGCACACGGGAUUGAUGAUGCAUGGAUGGAAGGAAGUGUAUAAGGAAAAGGAUAGGAGAUGUGGUCUGUUUGAGGAGAAGCAGACUUUCCCCGGAGUUUGCUGCGUGUUCUCAGGUUGUAGUUUCCUCAGGGCUCUGUGACAAACCAGACUUGGUGGUGUCCAACUUAGUUGAGAUUCGGUUAAUACAGGUUGAUGAGUUUUGCCCAAGUGUGUGGUUGGCAUUGAUUAGAAAAUUUAUAUCUCUUUAUAUCUAUAUAGAAAUUUAUAUUUGUUUUAUACUAAAAGCAGAGUAUCUUUUGCAGUCAUAGGUGGGAAAGGGUGUUUAAGAUGCUGUCAUUACUUACAAAAGAUGAGAUUUUAUCACAGAAGGCUUUUAAAAAGAAAUAACUCCAGGCCCACCCCCCCCCACACACACACACACACUUCCACUCCCCACCCUGUCCCCAUCAUGGUGGACUUUCACUCCCCACCCUGUCCCCAUCAUGGUGGAAUGGUCCUGGAUAAUUAACAUCCUUUACACAUCCUUCGUUCUCUUUCCAUCGACGGAUGACGGUUUCUUCUCUCAUGGGCGCACAGAUUUCUAGUUUGAGUGGGAACCUAGAGUCCCUGACUGUCAAAAGGGAAACCCACAGUCCUGUCCUUAUUGAAUUCCCUGUUAGUCCCAAGUCCUAGGUUACCCCUUUCCUUAAUGAAGCCGUUGUAGACAUCGUAUCCGAUCGGUUCUGGAAAUGUUGCUGUAAGUCUAUCUUACCACAUUAAGAGGAUAAUCGGCAGACUUAGAAGGUCCCCAUCUGGACUGUGGAGUUCUUUCCCUGUGAGAUGUUUUGCCUUUUGAGAUAGCUCUCGCGUUUCUUCAUCUGUUCAGCCCAGAGAAGUGCGUAUGAAAAGUCAGUGACUCCAGAUCCAUCUGCCGUUAUUAUUUCCCGCUGAUAAUUGGCUUGAACAAUGAAAAGCCUGUGUGUGUCUGGAGCCUUUGAAACUAUACACUUGUUUUCUGGAGCUCUAGCUGCCGUGCCCCCCACCCUCCCUCCCCCUUCAUUCUCUCUAGGUUACAGCAAGUGGAGCUGGGAUGGGGAUGACAUCUUUGACUCUGUACACCAGUACAUGUCACUCAGCCUGCAGAGCUUGCAUACGGAUUUCUGUCCCAAUCCCUGUCUGUGCCAUUGGCUCCUGUUGUCUGAGAGCCUUCCAGCAAUCAGCUCAGGCUGGGCUCCUAUGCAGGGAUCUCUUACCUGGGUUGUCGUCUUGAUUUCACUGUCCUCGUUAAAAUAUUAAUUUAGAGUACAGUAUCUAAUACCUAUGGAAUCAGAUGCUACCUAUAACUGUACAAUAUAUUCAGUGUCAUCCAGGUUCUCGCAGUGCAGCUCAUUAAUACUGGAUUCCGCUAUCCACUCUUCCAUUAGCUUGCUCAGUGCACGGUGGACGAGCCAGCAACUAUAACGACCUACUCGAGCUGCCAAAAUAGUCGCUAGAAACAAUGCUGGGGUGGGCAGGGCUUCGUCAAGAGUGAUAGAUGGGUUAGAUUCUUGUUCUCUGUCUUACUUGCAUCAACUGUGGGGGUGAGUGACUGUGGAAGGUCACUUCAAGGGGAAAGAGUGAGCAGGGCGGAAGUCUGUCGUUUCUCCAGGACCCAUGUCUUUGUUCUUUGGGGUACGGGGAGACAUUUUUAUUUUAUUUUAUUUUUCUGUAGCUGCCAUUGCCUAUGAUUAAAGUAGGCUUUUGCUUUUAAUACUUUUUUCUUUUAAUUUCUUUUAAGGGUGGAGCUUUAGUUUUGCAGCAAAUGAUAUUCCAACCCCAUCUGUCUGGGAUCAGUGCUUCCUUCUGAGGUGGGGAGGAUUCCAUACUCUCCUCUCUUUAGUACAAAAUAGAAUAUAGAUAGGUGCUCUGACACUGAAUUGGUCCCCCACAGUUCUGUGUGGCUUAGAAUUGAGUAAUCUAACAUAGUCUUUCUCAUGCGUCAUUUGAAAUCGGGUAAUACUGUAAAAUUCAUUAAAAAGUAAUUGGUGGCUGGCAAGAUGUCUCGGUGGGUAAAGGUGUCUUCCACCAAGCUUGAUGGCGUGAGUUCGACUCCAGCCACAAAAGAACCGAACCUUACAAGUUCUUAGGUUUUUUCUCUGACCUCCAGUGUCUGUGCAGGCAUGCCUCCAUAAAUAAAUGUUUAAAAAAAAAAAAAAACUGUAUGGCCCUUCUUUGUUAAACGGUGGAAUUAAAAUUCUACAUUUAAUUUAUAAUUUGAAAAC
rnacentral:lncRNA from 1 species